UGCCCGGCUGCUCUGACCGCGAGCGGCUGGGUGUCGGUGCCCUGCUCUCCUCUGGGCGCCAGGAUGUUCCUGCCCAGUGCGUGUCCAGAAUAGCCGCUCAGACACCGGCUCCAGGUUGUGAUCAGUUAGGAUUCUGCACUUGUGACUGAAAAAUCCUUGUACAGGAACCAACCUUCUGGAAACUUCUCCCAUGUGUCAGGCCCACAGCACCUAGCACUGGAUGAGACACAUCACAAAUCCUGGACAAACUCUUGCUGAAACCAUGACAUGUCGAUGGCCCUUCACAGAAGACUUCACAAAAGGCUUCCCAUAACCCUAUUAAUGGAAAAAGGUGACGUGGGCAGAGUAUGCAGUUGUACCUGUUGAAAUAAACAUGCUCUUUG
rnacentral:lncRNA from 1 species